rnacentral:lncRNA from 1 species
UCCUGGGGACCCUGGAUCUUCACCUUGAGGAAGCAGGCCCGGAACUCCUGCGGGUUGGGCCACCAGGCCAGGAGAUCGCCAGUCCAGGAGGCAGGCUGCGCCACGGGUACACAGGCCCAUUGGCCUCGGCGGGGUCACCUGGCCUGGGCUUGGCGAGGUUGAUGCGGAAGCCGUUACGCUUGAAGGCGGGAUCGUCGUGGUCCGUCCGACGGUACCCCAGCCUGUCCAGGCGCGCACCUUCACGAAGCAGCGGCGGCGCUCAGGCACGUCCAGAUUGAACAGGCGCCGCUCCCGGAUCUCCACGUUGCCCACCAGGAAGACGCGC